rnacentral:lncRNA from 1 species
AAAUAAAGGGUCAUAUGGGAAUGAACUCUUUUAAAAUAUAUCGAGAAACACCUAUAGGUCCAAAUCCAAUACAUGACUAGAAUGACGAAUCAGUUUAAGGUCUAAGGAAAAGACACCAAGAAGAACCAAUCAUUUACAUUACUCCUUGCAUAUUUGUCUAUUCUUAGAUCAAAUAAAUAAAUAAAUAAACUGUUUAUGUGAUUCUCUAGAAAUCUUAUUUAGAGUAGUCAUUGAAGUGGUAUGCGUGGCAAAUAUGCGUUCUUGAUUAUAUGGGCUAUCAAUUUCGAAGUAAAAAUAUAAAUUCUAAGUAAAAUAUACAUAAAUGAUGUUAUUAUUAAAAUAAAUUAGUCGACGAUAGUGUCGGAAGGCUCUCCAUUCAAAGAUUUCUUUAUAUCUCUCUUGCAUCUGACAUAAUUGAUUCUUGAAAAUCACUUUGAAUGUUUUCCUUAUGGUGAGGUGAUUCAAUUUGAUCCAUUAUGUGUAGAUAUUUUACUGGGUUAAGAAUCAUCAAAGUUAUAAAUUUAGUAUGGAACUCGAAUUCUAUAUGUGCAAUUGAGCUAUACUAAGAAUUAAUCCUAUUCAAGUUUACAUAUAAACCUACGCAAGACUCUAUAUAUAUUUAAAUAAUGUUUAGUCCAUUGCAAGAUCUAUUUUCUUUCUUUUCAUCCAAGUCUUGAUAAUUACUAUUUCAGUAAUGAAUUCUACAUCUUAUCGGACAAGUUUGCUUCUAAUCAAACUAGGUUCAUUUCUAAGUACAUCUACUAAAUUUUCAUGAAUUAUAUUCAAUAUCUUAAUCAAACAUGACCAAUCCCAGAUGAGGCAAUUGAACACUAUGCCAUAAUUGUGUGUCUUUUCAAAAUAAAAUAGUUUUUUUUUUUCUUCAGAAAUGAAUAAUGGAAAAAAAUCAAACAUUGAUGUUGAUUACCAUUUGGAAACACGGAAUUACAAAAAUUUAAAAUCAUUUCAUAAGUCUAUUCAAUACCUGUGCAAAAAAGAAAAAGCAAACCCUAACGCUACUACUUCAAAGGAGCAUGCUUUUUUUGUGUGAUAAUCAUAAUUUCUAUAUCACUUCUUUGUUCAUUUAUAAUAUAAAUGAUUUAAUUGUUUUUUUGCUUUACAAUUUUAUUAGAUAUUUAAGGGUGCCAUUAAUGUAACAUUAGAGGGUUUUAAAAUUAUCCAUUAUUUUUUAAAGUUACAUAUAAUAAUUGAUAUCAUUUAAUUAAUAUGGUAUUUAGAUUGUAAUAUAAGAUUUUAAUUUUAGUAUUUGAUGCAUAUGGUAUUGAAGGAUUGAAAAAACCAUCUUUCAAAUUUCAACAUGUAUGACUUCCAUUCCCAAACAAAUGAAUCACAAAAAGGUAGAAGGAAAUGAGUCCUUUAGAUUUACAUUAGGAAAAAUUAACACAUUUCUAUUACCUUAUUUUAUCAACCAAACAUGACCUAAUUUUAACAAACAUUUAAAUGAAAUUCACCAUGAUUCAAAUUUCGAGAUAUCAAUUAGUAAAAUAUUGUAUUUUUCCUUUGACUUUCUUAUAGAUAUCGAAAUUUAUAGAAAUAAUUCAUCAUGAUUAUCAAGUAAUUAGUAUUCAAGGAGGAACAAAUGAAAAAAAAAAAAAAAAGGAAGAACGUCUUGCUAAAGGGGACUUUCCUAAUGGUAUUUUGUUCUAGUGUGAGAGGUAAAAUAAUUGCCUAGUUUAAAACUUAUGGUAAAAAAUGGAAUUUUAUAUUUUUUUUAUUGUAAGCAUCACAUUUUUAUUGUUAUCUUUAAUUGUUAUGUAAUUAAGCGGCAUAUCACGACUGCAAGAAAAAAAGGAAAAAAAUUGCCCAUAAAUAUCUUCCCUAAAAUUCUUUUCUUAUCAUAUCAUAUGGUAUUAAUAGAAAAGUAUCUCUUACAUUUUGGAUAAUAAAUAAAAGAUUUUCUCCCAAAUUUUCUCUCAUAUGUGGGAACAUUACACUAUAUAGAAGCCCAAAUCCAGAUGGAUUACUUACGAUUCUUUGGGAUUUAAAAUUUAAGUACAAGAAAAUAGUAGAAGAACAAAGAUAUCCUUUAGUUGAAUUCUUAGAUCUAAUUCUUAAUGUUUCGCAUCUAAUUCUCAAAUCUAAAAAUCUAAACUUAUAUUCUCAAUAAAAAUCCCUUUGUGUCAUUUAAAUUUGACUUAUAAAUAGAGAAACUUGUUACCAUUCCACUCAAAUCCAAAUUUAGCUAAUCUUCAAUAAUACCAUGGGGCAAGUUCCAAAACCAUUGAUUAUUUUCCUCCUAACACUCAUUGUGUGUUCCUAUUCACAAGCUCAUCGAAAUCUUCGAGAAUCACCUGGAGGUCCUGACCCAAUACAUCAUGGAAUUGAGGAUCCAAUGAAUAGUGAAGCUUAUGGAAUCUAUCGAGAAUCUUCCGAAGAUGCAAACUCAAUACAUCAGAAAAUAAAGGAUCAUAUGGGAGCGAAUGCCUUUAAAAUAUAUCGAGAAACACCUACAGGUCCAAAUCCAAUACAUGACUAGAAUGACGAAUCAGCUUAGGAUCUAAGGAAAAGACACCAAGAAGAACCGAUCAUUUACAUUAAUCCUUGCAUAUUUGUCUAUUCUUAGAUCAAAUAAAUAAAUAAAUAAACUGUUUAUGUGAUUCUCUAAAAAUCUUAUUUAGAGUAGUCAUUGAAGUGGUAUGCAUGGAAAAUAUGCGUUCUUGAUAAU